rnacentral:misc_RNA from 1 species
GGUUUUUACCCGGUAUCUUAAG